ensembl:miRNA microRNA 9-3
UCUUUGGUUAUCUAGCUGUAUGAGUGAUAAUCAUGCAUCAUAAAGCUAGAUAACCGAAAGUA